UACGGAAGGCAGCAGUGGGGAAUAUUGCACAAUGGGCGCAAGCCUGAUGCAGCCAUGCCGCGUGUAUGAAGAAGGCCUUCGGGUUGUAAAGUACUUUCAGUCGUGAGGAAGGUGUUAAGGUUAAUAACCUUAGCAAUUGACGUUAGCGACAGAAGAAGCACCGGCUAACUCCGUGCCAGCAGCCGCGGUAAUACGGAGGGUGCGAGCGUUAAUCGGAAUUACUGGGCGUAAAGGGCACGCAGGCGGUUAAUUAAGUUGGAUGUGAAAUCCCCGGGCUUAACCUGGGAAUGGCAUUCAAGACUGGUUAGCUAGAGUCUUGUAGAGGGGGUAGAAUUCCAUGUGUAGCGGUGAAAUGCGUAGAGAUGUGGAGGAAUACCGGUGGCGAAAGGCGGCCCCCUGGACGAAAGACUGACGCUCAUGUGCGAAAGCGUGGGGAGGCAAACAAGGGAUUAGAUACC
rnacentral:rRNA from 1 species